AGUGAACGCUGGCGGUAGGCCUAACACAUGCAAGUCGAACGGCAGCACAGUAAGAGCUUGCUCUUACGGGUGGCGAGUGGCGGACGGGUGAGGAAUACAUCGGAAUCUACUUUUUCGUGGGGGAUAACGUAGGGAAACUUACGCUAAUACCGCAUACGACCUACGGGUGAAAGCAGGGGAUCUUCGGACCUUGCGCGAUUGAAUGAGCCGAUGUCGGAUUAGCUAGUUGGCGGGGUAAAGGCCCACCAAGGCGACGAUCCGUAGCUGGUCUGAGAGGAUGAUCAGCCACACUGGAACUGAGACACGGUCCAGACUCCUACGGGAGGCAGCAGUGGGGAAUAUUGGAGAAUGGGCGCAAGCCUGAUCCAGCCAUACCGCGUGGGUGAAGAAGGCCUUCGGGUUGUAAAGCCCUUUUGUUGGGAAAGAAAAGCAGCAGGUUAAUACCCCGCUGUUCUGACGGUACCCAAAGAAUAAGCACCGGCUAACUUCGU
rnacentral:rRNA from 1 species